CCUACGGGGGGCUGCAGUGGGGAAUAUUGCACAAUGGGCGCAAGCCUGAUGCAGCCAUGCCGCGUGUGUGAAGAAGGCCUUCGGGUUGUAAAGCACUUUCAGCGGGGAGGAAGGCGGUGAGGUUAAUAACCUCAUCGAUUGACGUUACCCGCAGAAGAAGCACCGGCUAACUCCGUGCCAGCAGCCGCGGUAAUACGGAGGGUGCAAGCGUUAAUCGGAAUUACUGGGCGUAAAGCGCACGCAGGCGGUCUGUCAAGUCGGAUGUGAAAUCCCCGGGCUCAACCUGGGAACUGCAUUCGAAACUGGCAGGCUAGAGUCUUGUAGAGGGGGGUAGAAUUCCAGGUGUAGCGGUGAAAUGCGUAGAGAUCUGGAGGAAUACCGGUGGCGAAGGCGGCCCCCUGGACAAAGACUGACGCUCAGGUGCGAAAGCGUGGGGAGCAAACAGGAUUAAUACCCUUGUAGUC
rnacentral:rRNA from 1 species